ACGCAAACCUUUUCGCACCCCUUUUUACAAGGUGCUUGCUGUACUGUUGUCUCGUCACUGUUUUUCUUCCUGCUUACAUCUCUCACUUCGUUGAUCUAAAAGUAGUGAAGUGGAAUGCACCAGAGCCAUAGUAGAGAACGGGAGUUAAAGCAGAUAGUAGGGGAGCCUUAGUAAGAAAAUCACGGGAGCUUCAUCUGCUUACAAGGAUAGUGGUCCCGUGUUGUUUUGUUUCAAGACGGAAUGUGACUGCUCGGGUGGAGGCGAAUUGUGGGCGUCGCCGAGCUCCUAGAUGAUCGAUGAACUGUUUGAUGCCGUAGAACGGCUCCUGCUCCUGUGGGUUUGAGUUCGAAGUCUGUCACCAGCACAGGGAUUGGGGAGAUGCGUGUAGCUAGAGUAAUGCGUAUUUCAGAGCCUGAUUCUCGCCACUGACAGGUUCGAACGGAUAUUUUGACAUCCUUUCUACUGAGGGGCACUCGUGGCAAUGGAGACACAAUAGUCAGACCGGUGAGUAAAAAAAUUGGGAAUCGGGAAUUCAUUUACAGAUCCAGCAUAUUCGAAAUUAUAAUUGAAACUAUGGGGUAUGCACCGCAAUGGAACACUGUGGCCACCAAGGGAAAUCACCGCGCUUCAACGAAAUCGAGACUUGCUGUAGGGCGGAGGGCAUACGUCGCAAUCGGCGCCGUCUUGGUUUUCCUUUUGUACACAUGGAUUGGAUAUGAUGAGAUGCGACUGGGACCUCGAACUUCAUCGAGGUUCAAGCAGACUCUGAGAUCAGGGGGUAUUGCCGGGCAAGAAUGCGAACAAAGUGCUGAACCAAGUCAGGAAGGAAUUAGAUCUUUAGGGUCAUACGCCACGAACGCUUUAGAGAGUUGUGAAUCGGCUGGACCAGAUCUUCCCGUAGGGUACAACUUCGAAGCUACCAAACUCACCCCGGAGGAAUGCGAAGGCCGGCACGUUUACAUGUACGACCCGCCAACCGAGUUCACCGUUGAUAUCAUCAAAAACUGCCAGAACUGGUCAACGUGGUGGACGAUGUGCGAAGACGCGCAGAACGGCGGAUUUGGGGUGCGAUUGAGACUGCGAAAGUCCGACCCCCUGUCGAGUAUCACCCAACCCCCCGAUUCUUGGUAUCGAACUGAGCAGUUCACCCUAGACAUGUCCUGGCACAGCCGAAUGAAGACCUACCCCUGCCUGACUGACGACCCAAACGAGGCUUCCAUUUUCUACGUCCCCUUCUAUCACAGCCCCGAUUUGACUCGAAACUUGAAGAAUCCCAACAUGACGGAAACAGAUUACUUGACUACACGAUUCGUCAAGUGGUUGGGCAAACAGGCGCCAUAUCAGCGCUAUGGCGGCAGGCGCCACUUCAUCGUCAUGGGCCGCAUCUUCUGGGACCACAAUCGGCUUUUCAAUUCCACGCACGGUUGGGGAAGCUCUCUCUUCUCGCAGCCGGAGCUGAAAAAUGUCUUCAAGGUCAUGAUCGAGCGAAGCGAAUGGGCGGCAGACACAAUCGCCAUCCCAUACCCUACGAACUUCCAUCCCACAUCUGAGGCCGCGUUGCAAGCCUGGGAGGCUAAGAUCCGAGUCGCGAAACGCACUAAGCUGAUCUCUUUCGCUGCAUCCGACCGAAGUCGAAACAUGACGGGCAUGGUGCGUGGUGAGCUCUUCGACCAGUGUUCCAAAUCUAAAACCUGUAAUCACGUCAUUUGCUCCACGGAGCUCUGUGUAUUCCGGCCCCAGACAAUUUAUAAGAUCUCCCUCGAAUCCGUCUUCUGUCUAGAACCUGGAGGCGACAGCCCCACACGCAAAGGCAUCUUCGAUUCUCUCAUCACGGGAUGCAUUCCAGUCCUCUUCAACACGAAUCAAGCUGUGAAGAUGUACUUGUGGCAUCUACCAGGCAAUGGCAGCGACUAUUCCAUCCUGAUAGACGAAAAUAAGGUUGUGAACGACCACUACGAUGUGAUGCAGCACCUGGAGCGCAUUCCGAAGGAGGAGAUCGCCCGGAUACAGGAAAAUAUAUUCGCCAUGUUUCCGCGGCUCUUGUACAGAAACACAAAACUGACGGGCGAGUACAAAACCAAGGAUGCGUUCGACAUCACAAUCGACAAGCUUCUCCAAAAGCUCCCCGCUGAGGACAAGACCUCAGGCAAUCACACCACCAUCGCGUUUUGGACACACACACCUUGGAAGAAAGGAAAGGUCACGGAUGGUUGUUGAUCGUGAUCACAACUGGAGAGAUGAAGCUAAUUGUGUCGGUGAGGCUUUGCUUGUGGAACUAGGAUACCGCUCUUCUACAUGCUACUUUUGACGGUGUCUGAGGGAUGGUCCCUUCGGUGGUCCUGCGGACUGGUCAACGGGCAAGGCCAAGCGGUAGUGGCUCUUGCAAAGUAUUGUCCUCGGAAGAAAAUUUGAAACUGGCGGAAAAGUGUACUAGCAUUUUUUUUUUGCCAACUUGCAUCGUACCACACCGCACAUUCUGUUGCUAUUCUCCAGUGUGGUGCAGUGACUUUCACUGCACCACAUAUUCCUUUUUCAAACCUACAUUACAAGUCUUGUUGCACACAGACAUUACAAGCCUUGUUGUGUACAGAAAUCAAACCAUGUAAACCGAGUAAAGGCUAUGGUGUUUAUUUUUUUUAGAAU